GAUGAACGCUGGCGGCGUGCUUAACACAUGCAAGUCGAACGAGAAGUGGAGACAGAAACCUUCUGUCGGACUUCUUUAUUUCGAGUGGCGGACGGGGUAAUAACGCGGGGGUACCGUGCCUCAUACAGGGGGAUAACAGCUGGAAACGACUGAUACUACCGCAUAACACCACAGCACCGCAUGGUGCGGGGGUAAAAACUUCUGUGGUAUGAGAUGGACCCGCGUUCGAUUAGCCAGUUGGCGGGGUAACGGCCCAGCAAAGCGAAGAGCGAUAGCCGGAAUUGGAGGAUGACCGGGAACAUUGGGGCAGAGACAAGGCCCGAACUCCUACGGAAGGAAGCAGUGGGGAAUAUUGAACAAUGGGGGAAUGACUGCUGCAGCGACGCCGCGUGAGUGAGGAAGUAGUUCGGUAUGUAACGCUCUAUAAGCAGGGAAGAAAAUGACGGUACCUGAGUAGGAAGCCCCGGCUAACUACGUG
rnacentral:rRNA from 1 species